rnacentral:rRNA from 1 species
CGCCCGCCGCGCCCCGCGCCCGUCCCGCCGCCCCCGCCCGCUCCUACGGGAGGCAGCAGUGGGGAAUAUUGCACAAUGGGCGCAAGCCUGAUGCAGCGACGCCGCGUGCGGGAUGGAGGCCUUCGGGUUGUAAACCGCUUUUGUUCAAGGGCAAGGCACGGUCUUUGGCCGUGUUGAGUGGAUUGUUCGAAUAAGCACCGGCUAACUACGUGCCAGCAGCCGCGGUAAUACA